ACAAAACCAAAAUUGUAGUAUACUAGUAUCCCUACACUUAGUAUAUAUAUAUAAGUGUGUGUGUGAGGGUACGUGUGUGUGUGUGUGUGAGUGCACAUGUGUGAGUAUGUGUAAUGCCAUGUGGCAUCACCUCCCCCCCCUCUUUUAUGCAUGCAGGGAAGAGAGAGAGAGGAGUUUAUCUCCUCUCUUCUCUCCUUUUCUCUUUCGUUCGGCCGUACCAAGGAAGCACGCGAGGGACGCCGCCGCGGAGCCGAUUUCGCCGUCGACGUCGCACCGCAGAGCCGUUCGAACCUACGGUUGCUGCCGUUGCAUCGUGAGGAGGCCGGGCGAGCGUGGAUCUUCGCCGUUCUUGACGUCGCGCCAGUGCUAGUCGCCGUCGAGAUUUCCAGCGUCGACCGUUGGCGUUUCGGCUCGUACUCGACGUAGGAGCGUCGGAUUUCGACGAGGCUUGAUUCGCUGGAUUCAGGACUUCGAGAGGAAUCCACGAAGCCCUUACUUGCCAGAUUUCGUUGAGAGCGUGGUGUUAGCUCGACUCCCGGAUUUGGAGGGUGUAGAUCGACCAGCAGGUGGUGCUGCAGCUGUGAGGGUGUACCGCUGCCAGGGGAUUAGCAUUUUAGGUGGGUUACAUCGGUUUUACUCCUAAGUAUUAUUAGUCAACAUGUAUAAAUCGUGAUUUCUACAAUAGUUUAGCUCAAAUUCAUGGAUUAUUAUUAGAAUGCAAAAUCUGAAUUUGCGAGCAUAUUUUAUUAAGUAAUUAGAUUAUACAUGUUGGACUU